rnacentral:rRNA from 1 species
AUUGAACGCUGGCGGCAGGCCUAACACAUGCAAGUCGAGCGGAUGAGAGGAGCUUGCUUCUCGAUUCAGCGGCGGACGGGUGAGUAAUGCCUAGGAAUCUGCCUGGUAGUGGGGGACAACGUUUCGAAAGGAACGCUAAUACCGCAUACGUCCUACGGGAGAAAGCAGGGGACCUUCGGGCCUUGCGCUAUCAGAUGAGCCUAGGUCGGAUUAGCUAGUUGGUGAGGUAAUGGCUCACCAAGGCGACGAUCCGUAACUGGUCUGAGAGGAUGAUCAGUCACACUGGAACUGAGACACGGUCCAGACUCCUACGGGAGGCAGCAGUGGGGAAUAUUGGACAAUGGGCGAAAGCCUGAUCCAGCCAUGCCGCGUGUGUGAAGAAGGUCUUCGGAUUGUAAAGCACUUUAAGUUGGGAGGAAGGGUCGUAGAUUAAUACUCUGCAAUUUUGACGUUACCGACAGAAUAAGCACCGGCUAACUCUGUGCCAGCCGCCGCGGUAA